CGGAUCCAUCUGAAAAUUUCAGGGCAGAUAGAUCUUGACAUGAUAAACAAUUUCACUCCGUCAGAUUUGCUCUAAAUGCUUUGAUUUUUGAGUAUAUAACCAAAAACUGCAUUUUACCCUAUGUCCUAUAUUUAGCCGUGGCAGCCAUCUUGGUUGGAUGGCCGGGUCACCGGACACAUUUUUUAAACUACAUACCCCAAAGAUGAUUGUGGCCAAGUUUGGAUUAAUUUAGCCCAGUAGUUUCAGAGGAGAAGAUUUUUGUAAAAGAUCACCAAGAUUUACGAAAAAUGGUUAAAAAUUGACUAUAAAGGGCAAUAACUCCUUAAGGGGUCAACUGACCAUUUCGGUCAUGUUGACUUAUUUGUAAAUCUUACUUUGCUGAACUUUUGCUGUUACAGUUUAUCUCUAUCUAUAAUAAUAUUCAAGAUAAUAACCAAAAACAGCAAAAUUUCCAUAAAAUUACCAAUUCAGGGGCAGCAACCCAUCAACGGGUUGUCCGAUUCAUCUGAAAAUUUCUGGGCAGAUAGAUCUUGACCUGAUAAACAAUUU
rnacentral:lncRNA from 1 species